rnacentral:rRNA from 1 species
UACGGGAGGCAGCAGUGGGGAAUAUUGCACAAUGGGCGCAAGCCUGAUGCAGCCAUGCCGCGUGUAUGAAGAAGGCCUUCGGGUUGUAAAGUACUUUCAGUCGUGAGGAAGGUGUUAAGGUUAAUAACCUUAGCAAUUGACGUUAGCGACAGAAGAAGCACCGGCUAACUCCGUGCCAGCAGCCGCGGUAAUACGGAGGGUGCGAGCGUUAAUCGGAAUUACUGGGCGUAAAGGGCACGCAGGCGGUUAAUUAAGUUGGAUGUGAAAUCCCCGGGCUUAACCUGGGAAUGGCAUUCAAGACUGGUUAGCUAGAGUCUUGUAGAGGGGGUAGAAUUCCGAUGUGUAGCGGUGAAAUGCGUAGAGAUGUGGAGGAAUACCGGUGGCGAAGGCGGCCCCUGGACAAAGGACUGACGCUCAUGUGCGAAAGCGUGGGGAGCGAAACAGGGAUUAGAUACC